rnacentral:rRNA from 1 species
GAUGAACGCUGGCGGUAUGCUUAACACAUGCAAGUCGAACGGUCUCUUCGGAGAUAGUGGCGGACGGGUGAGUAACGCGUAAGAAUCUACCUUCAGGUUGGGGACAACCACUGGAAACGGUGGCUAAUACCGAAUGUGCCGAGAGGUGAAAGGCUUGCUGCCUGAAGAAGAGCUUGCGUCUGAUUAGCUAGUUGGUGUGGUAAAGGCGCACCAAGGCGACGAUCAGUAGCUGGUCUGAGAGGAUGAUCAGCCACACUGGGACUGAGACACGGCCCAGACUCCUACGGGAGGCAGCAGUGGGGAAUUUUCCGCAAUGGGCGAAAGCCUGACGGAGCAAUACCGCGUGAGGGAGGAAGGCUCUUGGGUUGUAAACCUCUUUUCUCAGGGAAGAAAAAAA